rnacentral:lncRNA from 1 species
CCCGGCCCUCCCGUCACAGGCAUGGUGACCCCGGUCCAGCUUUCCAACCCCAAUCUCAGCUACCACUCAGACGACACCCGCCGGCUGAGCGCAGACCUGCGCCUUAGGUCUCAAGACCGCUGAGAAAGAAACCACCUUCCCUUUUGCAGGUGAGAACACUGGGACCAGGAGAUCAAAUGACGAACGAAAGUCACACUGAAUGGGGUCAAAUACACCUGGGACGGACCAGGCUGGCCGCCUCCGAGGCCCGAAGCUGGGCGGUCUCACGAGGUCCCCGCAGCCCGCCUGUCCCCGAGGGCUCCGAGGGGGUCGCGCUGAGACGCCCUUGGGUGAGAGGUCCCAGGUUCCCCACCGCAGAGACCCAGAGACUCCGAGUCAAGACCCAACGUCAAGGCCGACCCAGAGCAGGCGGUGCAGGCGACAGCAAACAUUGUUCACUACUUACUUGGCCCCUGACAACCUUAACGCAUCGGAAAUGGAACACUCCCUAUGUGCAUGGCCAUGUCCAGUCACUGAGCAAGAGAGGAGCAACAAUGCCUGACUUUACAUUAGGAGCUCAUCUUCAUCAGUCAGAGGAAUUUGUUUGUUCCUUGUUCUCAGAAAAUUGGCAAUAUCUCCCUAUUUAG